CCUACGGGUGGCAGCAGUCGAGAAUCAUUCACAAUGGGGGAAACCCUGAUGGGGCUACGCCGCGUGGGGGAAUGAAGGUCUGCGGAUUGUAAACCCCUGUCAUGUGGGAGCAAAUUAAAAAGAUAGUACCACAAGAGGAAGAGACGGCUAACUCUGCGCCAGCAGCCGCGGUAAUACAGAGGGCUCAAGCGUUGUUCGGAAUCACUGGGCGUAAAGCGUGCGUAGGCUGUUUCGUAAGUCGUGUGUGAAAGGCGCGGGCUCAACCCGCGGACGGCACAUGAUACUGCGAGACUAGAGUAAUGGAGGGGGAACCGGAAUUCUCGGUGUAGCGGUGAAAUGCGUAGAUAUCGAGAGGAACACUCGUGGCGAAGGCGGGUUCCUGGACAUUAACUGACGCUGAGGCACGAAGGCCAGGGGAGCGAAAAGGAUUAGAUACCCGAGUAGUC
rnacentral:rRNA from 1 species